rnacentral:rRNA from 1 species
GAUGAACGCUGGCGGCGUGCCUAAUACAUGCAAGUCGAGCGAACGGACGAGAAGCUUGCUUCUCUGAUGUUAGCGGCGGACGGGUGAGUAACACGUGGAUAACCUACCUAUAAGACUGGGAUAACUUCGGGAAACCGGAGCUAAUACCGGAUAAUAUUUUGAACCGCAUGGUUCAAAAGUGAAAGACGGUCUUGCUGUCACUUAUAGAUGGAUCCGCGCUGCAUUAGCUAGUUGGUAAGGUAACGGCUUACCAAGGCAACGAUGCAUAGCCGACCUGAGAGGGUGAUCGGCCACACUGGAACUGAGACACGGUCCAGACUCCUACGGGAGGCAGCAGUAGGGAAUCUUCCGCAAUGGGCGAAAGCCUGACGGAGCAACGCCGCGUGAGUGAUGAAGGUCUUCGGAUCGUAAAACUCUGUUAUUAGGGAAGAACAUAUGUGUAAGUAACUGUGCACAUCUUGACGGUACCUAAUCAGAAAGCCACGGCUAACUACGUGCCAGCAGCCGCGGUAAUACGUAGGUGGCAAGCGUUAUCCGGAAUUAUUGGACGUAAAGCGCGCGUAGGCGGUUUUUUAAGUCUGAUGUGAAAGCCCACGGCUCAACCGUGGAGGGUCAUUGGAAACUGGAAAACUUGAGUGCAGAAGAGGAAAGUGGAAUUCCAUGUGUAGCGGUGAAAUGCGCAGAGAUAUGGAGGAACACCAGUGGCGAAGGCGACUUUCUGGUCUGUAACUGACGCUGAUGUGCGAAAGCGUGGGGAUCAAACAGGAUUAGAUACCCUGGUAGUCCACGCCGUAAACGAUGAGUGCUAAGUGUUAGGGGGUUUCCGCCCCUUAGUGCUGCAGCUAACGCAUUAAGCACUCCGCCUGGGGAGUACGACCGCAAGGUUGAAACUCAAAGGAAUUGACGGGGACCCGCACAAGCGGUGGAGCAUGUGGUUUAAUUCGAAGCAACGCGAAGAACCUUACCAAAUCUUGACAUCCUUUGACAACUCUAGAGAUAGAGCUUUCCCCUUCGGGGGACAAAGUGACAGGUGGUGCAUGGUUGUCGUCAGCUCGUGUCGUGAGAUGUUGGGUUAAGUCCCGCAACGAGCGCAACCCUUAAGCUUAGUUGCCAUCAUUAAGUUGGGCACUCUAAGUUGACUGCCGGUGACAAACCGGAGGAAGGUGGGGAUGACGUCAAAUCAUCAUGCCCCUUAUGAUUUGGGCUACACACGUGCUACAAUGGACAAUACAAAGGGCAGCGAAACCGCGAGGUCAAGCAAAUCCCAUAAAGUUGUUCUCAGUUCGGAUUGUAGUCUGCAACUCGACUACAUGAAGCUGGAAUCGCUAGUAAUCGUAGAUCAGCAUGCUACGGUGAAUACGUUCCCGGGUCU